UGUAAAAAUUCAUUGAUUUAGAUGAAUGUUUUUUUUUAAUCAAAGUAUUUUUUCGUCAAAUAGUUGACACAUCUUCAUUAGCUUCUGUUCGGUGAACGGGUCGGAGAAAAGCUUUUUCGAUAACCAGUCAGACUUAUUUAUAUCAGCGGAAUCUUCCUGCCGUGCAACCCCAGACAGCAUCGGAUCCAAGAGAUUCGGCGUCGGAAAAUUCCGACAGCUAUGAGAGGGCAAACGAUAGUGGACUCCAAGGGCAACCAUUCAUCCAACCAAUUUGAAGAGGUAACUGUACUGACUGUUCCAAUCCUCCGGCUAUAAGCGGUUGCAAUCGGUUCCGAUCCGGUCCAGGGAGACAACGGCUGACGCCAAAACCCUUUUGGCAACUGGCUACCAACAAAUAUCGUUCAAUGAACCGGUUUAAAAAUUCAAUAUAAGGGAAAAUCGAU